GAGCUGUGAAAGUGAAGCCUGGAUUGCCUAGCAGACCUCAAAAGAUACCAGAGAACUGGUGUAUAUUUCAAAGAGACCUUCUUACAGGAAGUGGAACCAGAGAAAGAAGUGUGUUGCAGUCAACAAAGUUGAAAGGAGUUGAAGAUCUGAAGAACAUUUUGACAUCAGACAUGGGGAUGAAAUGUUUAGAGUUUAUCCAGCUGGUUUUCCUUCUUGCUUUGGAGUGCUAUUUUCUCACCAUGCUUCCUUUUGGAACUGUAAUGUAUAUCCUGUGUCACCGAUUGUUGAAAGGAUGUGAUCUGCUUUUUCAUUUUACAGGGGAUUAGAGUUAAGAGAUUUGAACUUUGGAUUUCUAAGCAAGUCUGAGUAUGAGACCAUGGGAACCUUUCAAGUUGCACUGAAUGCAUUUUGCACUAUGAUAUGUUUACAAGCCUAUGGGAGCCAUGGAAUGGAAUGUGAUGGUUUGAAUAAAAUGGUCUCUAUUGAUUCAGAUGGAAUGGCAUCAUUAGAAGAUGUUGUUGGAAUUGGCCUUGUUGGAGUAGCUGCAUGUGGAUCAAGGUGAAGAACUCUCUCAUCUUCUU
rnacentral:lncRNA from 1 species